ensembl:lncRNA
AGAGAAACAAGCCUUACCUCUGCAGAAGCUGCCACCUUUGUCCUUUCCAUUCUGGCCAUUCCUGGCAGGGUCUCCAGAAGGUAACACAUUGAGAAGGGUCUGAUUUCAAAUAGAGGUCAUUAGAGAGCUCGUCAUAAUACAAAGUGUUGGAAUUAGCACAUGGAUCCUAUGAUGAUAGACGCCUACAGAGUUCUACAAUACAGUCUUAACACUGUUUCUCCCAGUCUUGUUUGUACUCUAAGUCCACACCAUUGGCAACGAUGACCAUUUCUAUUCCCAUGGCUUGGCCCUUUACAAAGGUUGUUUACUUCCGUUAUUUUGGUGAAUCUUUACAACUUGGUAUCCAUGUGUUGUUAGUAUUGUCCUCACUUUACAGAGAGCAAACUAAGGUAAGGAGAUGAGUGGCCUCACUGGGAAAGCUUGGUCUAGCUAGGGGUUCAAACCGCAUAUUCCAAAUAUGGGACUGGAAUUCAAAUUUGGGACCUUUUGCUGUGCCGCAGGUACUUCCCAACGUACAGCUGACGAGGACCAGUAACUUCCAUCCAGGCCCUGUGUGGGUGUGAUGGUUAAUGCUGAGUGUCAACUUGAUUGCAUUGAAGGACACUUACUAAGUAUUGAUCCUGGGUGUGUCUGUGAGGGUGUGGCCAAAGGAGAUUAACAUUUGAGUCAGUGGCUGGGAGAGGCAGACCCACCCUCAAUCUGGGUGGGCACCAUCUUAUCACCUGCCAGCAUGGCCAGAAUAUAAGCAAGCAGAAAAAUGUGAAAAGAGAGACCGGUCUAGACUCCCAGCCUACAUCUUUCUCCCUUGCUGGAUGCUUCCUGCCCUUAAACAUCAGAUCCAAGUUCUUCCAUUUUGAAACUCCCGCUGGCUCCCCUUGCUCCUCAGCCUGCAGACCGCCUGUUGUGGGACCUUGUGAUCGUAUGGGCCAUGUUCCCUUCAGGCUCAGCUCUCCUGGGAUCUGCUGCCCCUUCCUGCCUCAAGGACCCACUCCACCCUCCUGGCACUGGCUUGGCCCUGGUGGAGGAGCUACCAUAGGCAGCAGAGAAGUGGAAUUCUGCUGGGAGCUGCCACCCAAGAACACUGGGCCCCACCAAGCCCGCCGUGUAGACCUGGACUGCUAGAGAGGAUGGGAGCACCUUCCCCUCCAGGAAGAGCCACAGGCCUGGAGGAAAACCUGCACCUCUGAGAGCCUCAAAGGAGCUGUGCCAGUCUGAAGGUACUGCUCAAUGGUCCUGGUCCUCUGUGGGCGACAGGGUCACACUGUGAGCUGAACCUUACACAGCACGUCAGUGUGACGGAUACCAGCAUCCUUCUCCAUCAUCUUCCUAAUUAUGAGCCUGCUCAACCCCUCCCCAGCCACCUGGCUCAUGCCCGGCCUUCGCUUCUUUGGGCCUUUCCCUCCUUCAUGCCAUGGGAGGUAAAGGCCAAGAAAGGUGGCAGGACAUAGGCCCUGGGGUAGGAGCAAGCGCCGGUGUGGAUGAGUGCAUCCUAAACUCAGGGCUGGCCAGAGAGAAACACCAGGACCCAGAAACAUGUGUCUCAGACCUGCUUUCAUCCUGCUGGGAUACAGGAAGGUACAGGGCCUAUGCCUGGGGGGAAACCACUGAAGACACAGCAGGCGGCUGAGCAGCACUGCAGGUGACAGCUCACUGCUGGUCUCAUUCCUGCAUUGCCUUCCCCAGCUUGUCCCCUGGGACUCUGGGGAAAUAAAUUGUGUUGGUUUUUCUCUGUAAAUAAUUUCCUGUCAUUGUGUGUAACGACUGGCAAAUAAUUUCUCAACAACUGGCUGUUUCUUUGUUGCGUUCUAAAGUUGAGCAGCACUGUGGAUCAUCAGCAUUUUCUAUUUCCCUGCCAUCUGAAAACAUCUGGGACAAUCCCUUGAGCCCAGGUAGAGGCUGCAGUGAGCUAUGAGCGUGCCACUGCUCCCCAGCCUGGGUGACAGAGUAAGACUCCGUCUCU